rnacentral:rRNA from 1 species
CACAUGCAAGUCGAGCGGAUGAAAGGAGCUUGCUCCUGGAUUCAGCGGCGGACGGGUGAGUAAUGCCUAGGAAUCUGCCUGGUAGUGGGGGACAACGUUUCGAAAGGAACGCUAAUACCGCAUACGUCCUACGGGAGAAAGCAGGGGACCUUCGGGCCUUGCGCUAUCAGAUGAGCCUAGGUCGGAUUAGCUAGUUGGUGAGGUAAUGGCUCACCAAGGCGACGAUCCGUAACUGGUCUGAGAGGAUGAUCAGUCACACUGGAACUGAGACACGGUCCAGACUCCUACGGGAGGCAGCAGUGGGGAAUAUUGGACAAUGGGCGAAAGCCUGAUCCAGCCAUGCCGCGUGUGUGAAGAAGGUCUUCGGAUUGUAAAGCACUUUAAGUUGGGAGGAAGGGUUGUAGAUUAAUACUCUGCAAUUUUGACGUUACCGACAGAAUAAGCACCGGCUAACUCUGUGCCAGCAGCCGCGGUAAUACAGAGGGUGCAAGCGUUAAUCGGAAUUACUGGGCGUAAAGCGCGCGUAGGUGGUUUGUUAAGUUGGAUGUGAAAUCCCCGGGCUCAACCUGGGAACUGCAUCCAAAACUGGCAAGCUAGAGUAUGGUAGAGGGUGGUGGAAUUUCCUGUGUAGCGGUGAAAUGCGUAGAUAUAGGAAGGAACACCAGUGGCGAAGGCGACCA